CCUACGGGGGGCAGCAGUGAGGAAUAUUGGUCAAUGGACGCAAGUCUGAACCAGCCAUGCCGCGUGCAGGAAGACGGUUCUAUGGAUUGUAAACUUCUUUUGUCCGGGGGCAAAAGCCGCUACGCGUAUCGUUCUGAGAGUAUCCGACGAAUAAGCAUCGGCUAACUCCGUGCCAGCAGCCGCGGUAAUACGGAGGAUGCAAGCGUUAUCCGGAUUUAUUGGGUUUAAAGGGUGCGCAGGCGGACGGUCAAGUUAGAGGUAAAAUUGCGAGGCUCAACUUCGU
rnacentral:rRNA from 1 species